GAUGAAGAACGUAGCGAAAUGCGAUAAGUAAUGUGAAUUGCAGAAUUCAGUGAAUCAUCGAAUCUUUGAACGCACCUUGCGCCCCUUGGUUAUUCCAAAGGGCAUGCCUGUUUGAGUAUCAUGAACACCUCAACUCUUGUGGUUUCCCACAAUGAGCUUGGACUGUGGAGGUUUUGUUGGCCCUGUGGUCAGCUCCUCUCAAAUGGAUCAGCUUACCGGUGUUUGGUGGCAUUACGGGUGUGAUAACUAUCUACGCUCGUGGUCGUCUCCAAAUAACCUCCAGUGAUGGAGGUUCGCUGGAGCUCAUAAAUGUCUCUCCCCAGUGAAGACAGCCUUUGAACGUUCGAUCUCAAAUCAGGUAGGACUACCCGCUGAACUUAAGCAUAUCAAUAAGCGGAGGA
rnacentral:misc_RNA from 1 species